rnacentral:misc_RNA from 1 species
AGCUACCUUUGCUGUAAUAAAUCCUGCAUUCCAGCAAAAUUGAGAUCAGACAAAUCCCUAUUACCAAUAAUCCCACUUGACUAUGUCCUACGAGAAAUAUAAUUGAAAUGUGAAGUAGAUAGUCUAAAUGGGGUUUUUAAGACUAAUUAGAAUGUGAUAGUCUAGAGCAUACAACUGUGAUGAAAUUGACAUAUCAUGAGUUCUCACUGAGUUCAGCUUCAGGGACAUCACUAUAUCCAUUUGUCGCAUUUUCUAUUGUAUAUCUUUUACUUAUCUAUCCUCAGUCGUUUAGAGAUUGAUCAGCUUUAGAGAAGACUAAUUGUCAUGUAUGUAAAAAUUAGCUUACCAAAUGCUCCAGGAUUAUUGAUA